GACAGAGGAUGCAAGCGUUAUCCGGAAUGAUUGGGCGUAAAGGCGUCUGUAGGUGGCUUUUUAAGUCCGCCGUCAAAUCCCAGGGCUCAACCCUGACAGGCGGUGGAAACUACCAAGCUGGAGUACGGUAGGGGCAGAGGAAUUUCCGGUGGAGCGGUGAAAUGCGUAGAGAUGAAAGAACACCAACGGCGAAAGCACUCUGCUGGGCCGACACUGACACUGGAGAGACAAAGCUA
rnacentral:rRNA from 1 species